rnacentral:sRNA from 1 species
CUAUGACAGCCCUGCAGAGCCUAGGUAUCCACCACUACGUAGCCCACAGUCUGCUCUGCCCCAGCCACAGCAUCCUCGGCUUGCUCAGCCAUUCUUUGUCUGGGUAGUUUGAAGUCCAGUCCCCACUCUCAUUACUUACCAUCCUCUGAAUGCAGCCAGUCUGUCUGGGUCUCCCUGAGACUGGCAUGCCCAGACUCCUGUGGGUAUAGUCUGGCCAAGGCAGAGUUAGCACAGGACUGUCACCUCCCUCCUUCUACAUACUCUGGUUCUACUAAUGCAGCCUAAUGUUACAUUUGUUCUUUUGGUGAUCGCAUCUCACUGCUGACCCAUCCUGAGCAGAUGGACAUCCAAAAUGCCUAAAUCUUUUUUCUGUGUGCUCUUGCUAUUAAGUUCUGUCUCUCCUGCCCCAUUCUAUGCUGUUGCAGUUGGUGUUUUUAACCCAGGUGCAGAAUCUUACUUUAUUUAUACCUGCGGAAUUUUGCUCGAGAGGGUGGGGCAUGCAUGCGAGUGUAUGUUGGUGUGUUCGUUCAUGCUUUCUGCUGCACCAAAGCCAAGUCCUAGGUCCCCACGCAGCGAUCCUAAGGCUAAUUAUUUAUUGGUAGCUGUAAUCUAAUUUGUCUUUUUCAUCUUCUGUUUAGCAAGAGGAACAGAGAUCAGGUCUUAUGGCAAUGACCCCUGAACGGCAGAAUGCAUAUAUCUCCCAACAGAUGAGUCCAUUUCAAGCCGUCCAAGAACAAGUCACCUCCAAGUGUAGCCGGAUCAAGGCAAGCCCCCCAUCUAGCAAGCACUUGAUGCCACCCAGAACUGGGCUCCUUCAGAACAAUCUGAGUCCAGGAAUGAUCCCACUCACCAGGCACCAGAGCUGCGAGGGCAUGGGAGUGAUCUCACCAACUCUGGGGAAGCGCCAAGGAAUUUUCACCUCCAGCCCCCAGUUUCCCAUCCUCUCACACUCAGGCCAGACUCCCCUGGGCAGUCUUGGCUCUGUCUGCCAGCAUACGCAGAGUCCCAAGGCCACCCCACCAGAAGUGCCCCUGCCUGGGUUCUGUCCCAGCUCCCUGGGCACCCAGUCCUUGAGUCCCCACCAGCUCAGACAGCCUAGUGUGCCAAGAAUGCCCACUGCGUUCAACAAUGCUGCAUGGGCCACAGCGGCAGCAGCUGUGACCACAGCAGUUUCGGGGAAAACACCCCUCAGCCAAGUGGAUAAUAGCGUUCAGCAGCAUUUGAAGGUGAGUGCUGCUCUGGCCAACAACCCCAGCUUCAGCCUGCUGCGCAGCCAGAGCCUCAGGCAGAGCCCAGUGCGGGGCCCGGUGCCUGCAGCAAACACCACCAAGUUCCUCCAGCAGGGUAUGGCCAGCUUUAGUCCCCUGAGCCCCAUACAGGGCAUCGAGCCACCAAGCUAUGUGGCUGCUGCUGCCACCGCUGCUGCUGCUUCUGCCGUUGCUGCCAGCCAGUUCCCAGGUCCGUUCAACAGAAUGGGUAUUCGCCCUGAGCUGCCACCUGCCGACUUUUUGCGCCAGCCCCAACCCCCACUAAAUGAUCUGAUUUCGUCACCUGACUGCAAUGAGGUAGAUUUCAUUGAAGCUCUCUUGAAAGGCUCCUGUGUGAGCCCAGAUGAAGACUGGGUGUGCAACUUGAGGCUGAUCGAUGACAUUUUGGAACAGCACACUGCUGCUCAAAAUGCCACAGCCCAGAAUUCUGGACAAGUCACCCAGGAUGCUGGGGCACUUUAAAUCUGAGCAGGAUGCCCAUAGAAACCCCCAUGGUGACAUCACUCUAGGAAGUGGUGUCAAUCCAUACCCGCAGUUGUCUCCCAUUACAAUUUGAGUGGUGUUGUCAGCCCAUGCUUAUCCCUCUCUCUACCUGUGACAAAAUGGAAAGCUGGUGAUUUUUCAAGCUACGUGUACAUAUUUGAAAAUUUUGUAAAUGGUUUUCCUAAACAUUAAUGACAGAAGUAUUUAUACUUCAUUUUGUGACUUUGUAAAUAAAGCGACGGCUUUUGUUUCAGUAGAGUUGUGUUUACUAUGCAUUGUUUUGUGUUUAUUAUACAAUGUUACAAAUAUGCAGACUGUGUUGUUUGCUCCAGUGAUACCUUGUUAAGCUAGGUGGCUGAGUCGCUUAUGGUUUUAAUGCAAUGAGCAAUGUGGAUGUGACCAAGAGUUGUUGUGCAAGUUGACAAAUGCCAAAUAGAAAACCACUUGGCCAUUUAUUUCUAUGUUCACUAAAAAUCCUAUUGCCUUGUGUGAUUCUUAAUCUCUUUUGCAAACCUUUCAGUCUCCGCUAGCUCUUUCCUAAUGAGCAUUUACAGCAGAAGCCGUUUUAUCGUUAAGUGCCCCACAGGGACACUUUACCAGGAGGCUGAGAGAGUUCUCCAGAUCUGGGAGAGGCGCAGAGAGAGUGUGUGAGCCGAGCCCUGUCUCAGCAAUCCACCUUGAGGAACUAGAGUAUCCUCCUCCCUUUACCAUUCAGACCGAGAGAAAAAGCCCAGCUUGUGUGCACCCUCGUGGGGUGAAGGCGAGCUGUUCCUGGUUUAAAGCCUUUCAGUAUUUGUUUUGAUGUAAGGCUCUGUGGUUUGGGGGGGAACAUCUGUAAACAUUAAUAGUUGAUUUGGGGUUUGUCUUUGAUGGUUUCUAUCUGCAAUUAUCGUCAUGUAUAUUUAAGUGUCUGUUAUAGAAAACCCACACCCACUGUCCUGUAAACUUUUCUCAGUGUCCAGACUUUGUGUAAUCACAUUUUAAUCGCCACCUCGUAUUUCGCCUCUACAUUUGAAAUCUGGCGUCUGUUUCGAGCCAGUGUGUUUUUUCUUCGUUCUGUAAUAAACAGCCAGGAG